rnacentral:rRNA from 1 species
UGGCCUACGGGGGGCAGCAGUGAGGAAUAUUGGUCAAUGGGCGGAAGCCUGAACCAGCCAAGUCGCGUGAGGGAAUAAGGCCCUACGGGUCGUAAACCUCUUUUGCCGGGGAGCAAGGGCGGGGACGUGUCCCGGCCCGGAGAGUACCCGGAGAAAAAGCAUCGGCUAACUCCGUGCCAGCAGCCGCGGUAAUACGGAGGAUGCGAGCGUUAUCCGGAUUUAUUGGGUUUAAAGGGUGCGUAGGCGGCUUGGCAAGUCAGUAGUGAAAUCCAUGGGCUUAACCCAUGAACUGCUAUUGAAACUGU